rnacentral:rRNA from 1 species
AUACGUAGGGGGCGAGCGUUGUCCGGAAUGAUUGGGCGUAAAGGGCGCUUAGGCGGCCUGUUAAGUCUGGAGUGAAAGUCCUGUUUUCAAGAUGGGAAUUGCUUUGGAUACUGAUGGGCUUGAGUGCAGGAGAGGUUAUCGGAAUUCCCGGUGUAGCGGUGAAAUGCGUAGAGAUCGGGAGGAACACCAGUGGCGAAGGCGGGUAACUGGACUGCAACUGACGCUGAGGCGCGAAAGUGUGGGGAGCAAACAGGAUUAGAUACCCUGGUAGUCCACACUGUAAACGAUGAAUGCUAGGUGUAAGAGGUAUCGACCCCUUUUGUGCCGGAGUUAACACAAUAAGCAUUCCGCCUGGGGAGUACGGCCGCAAGGUUGAAACACAAAUGAAUUGACGGGG